UACGUAGGGGGCUAGCGUUGUCCGGAAUCAUUGGGCGUAAAGGGUGCGUAGGUGGCGCCGUAAGUCAGGUGUGAAAUUUCGGAGCUUAACUCCGAAACUGCAUUUGAUACUGCGGUGCUUGAGGACUGGAGAGGAGACUGGAAUUCACGGUGUAGCAGUGAAAUGCGUAGAUAUCGUGAGGAAGACCAGUGGCGAAGGCGGGUCUCUGGACAGUUCCUGACACUGAGGCACGAAGGCCAGGGGAGCAAACGGG
rnacentral:rRNA from 1 species